CCUACGGGCGGCAGCAGUGGGGAAUAUUGGGCAAUGGGCGAAAGCCUGAUCCAGCAAUGCCGCGUGUGUGAAGAAGGUCUUCGGAUUGUAAAGCACUUUCGACGGGGACGAUGAUGACGGUACCCGUGGAAGAAGCCCCGGCUAACUUCGUGCCAGCAGCCGCGGUAAUACGAAGGGGGCUAGCGUUGCUCAGAAUGACUGGGCGUAAAGGGCGCGUAGGCGGUUUAUGCAGUCAGAUGUGAAAUCCCCGGGCUUAACCUGGGAACUGCAUUUGAGACGCAUAGACUAGAGGUCGAGAGAGGGUUGUGGAAUUCCCAGUGUAGAGGUGGAAUUCGUAGAUAUUGGGAAGAACACCGGUGGCGAAGGCGGCAACCUGGCUCGAUACUGACGCUGAGGCGCGAAAGCGUGGGGAGCAAACAGGAUUAGAUACCCCAGUAGUC
rnacentral:rRNA from 1 species